UACGGAGGGUGCGAGCGUUGUCCGGAAUCAUUGGGCGUAAAGGGCUCGUAGGCGGCCAACUAAGUCAGACGUGAAAUCCCUCGGCUUAACCGGGGAACUGCGUCUGAUACUGGAUGGCUUGAGGUUGGGAGAGGGAUGCGGAAUUCCAGGUGUAGCGGUGAAAUGCGUAGAGAUCGGGAGGAACACCAGUGGCGAAGGCGGCUACCUGGACCAGCACUGACACUGAAGCACGAAAGCGUGGGGAGCAAACAGG
rnacentral:rRNA from 1 species